rnacentral:rRNA from 1 species
UACGGAGGAUGCGAGCGUUAUCCGGAUUUAUUGGGUUUAAAGGGUGCGUAGGCGGCUUUUUAAGUCAGCGGUGAAAUUUUGCAGCUUAACUGUAACAGUGCCAUUGAUACUGGGGAGCUAGGAUUUGGUUGCUGUGGGUGGAAUGUGUGGUGUAGCGGUGAAAUGCUUAGAGAUCACACAGAAUAUCGAUUGCGAAGGCAGCUCACAAAGCCAAGAUUGACGCUGAGGCACGAAAGUGUGGGGAUCAAACAGGAUUA